rnacentral:lncRNA from 1 species
UUCGUGAAAACUCCAAAAAAAAGAUAUCAAAAGGACAUAUAGAAAAAAGGUGCAAAACAAAUAUAUUAUCCCCAUUGUGUCUUCGUUUGGUUAAUAUCACGAACAGAGCUGCCUUACACAUUGAUUCCGCUGAUGAAGGUUGUCUAUUAGUUUAUCUAAAGUGAUCUUUGUGCAACUAAUGUUGAAAUGUUUUUUCUAAUUUCUUGUUUUAAAGGCAUGUACUAGUAUAAAGUAGAAAAGUCAAAAGUUAAAUGACCAUCUAUAAAAUAGACCGGAAGACAGAGAAUAAAGGAAGAUAAUUAAAGAGAAGCAAAAAUGGCAACCUAAAUUAACUGUUCUUUACCGAUUUUUGAUUAACUAUUCGUUAAUUGACAGGUCAUGCUGGGCGUCGACCGUUUGGAUAUGAUUAAGGGAAUUCCCCAAAAAAUAUUGGCAUUUGAGAAGUUCCUUGAAGAGAAUCCAGACUGGCAUGGCAAGGUAGUUUUGCUACAAAUUGCAGUACCAACCAGGACAGAUGUCCCCGAGUGUAUGUUCCUUGUCAUCAUACUUAUCUAUGUUGUUUAAUUAGAGCACAAAUUUAUGUCUACUAUUGAAUCAUGUAGCAAAUAUCACUAACCAUGAAAGGAACAUAUGGAUUUUAGAGAGCAAUUUGAGUUGUUGGUUUAAGUUACUGACUUUAGUGACUUGAAAAUUUUGUGAAGGAAAAUUCUGCUAGUUGUCAUGAAUUUCUGGAAAGAGAAAGAAAGGAAAACUGUUGAUGUCUUUGGAUUGUGAUAUAUGUGCCCAUAUUCCUGAGAUUGAGACCAAUUUAAUGCAUUCGAACUUUACCAACUGCAACGAAAGUCCUUAAAAACUUCUAAAUGCAGAAGCUCCUCUUUAGAAUCCAGAUGGUCCUGUUAGAAGCAUUGUAUCUUUCUAAUCUUUGCUAAAACUGUGCCUCCUUAAUCUCUCUCUUAUCUUCUCCAUCCUCCCAUUUCUCCUUGAUCCAGAUUGCAACCCUCUUCCGCUUAACAUCUCUUAGCUCACACAGUUUCUGUUUUCGUCUCAAGUGAAGAGAUCUUCUGAUCUGACAUCUUUUGUCUAAAGGAAAAAGAUACUGGUUAUAGUAAAUUAACCUAGUUUAACAGUGAUGAAGUACAGAAGCUGAUGUUUUAUGCCUGUGAGAAAUCCUUUGGAUAUUCGUAUACUCACAUGAUAGAUUUGAGUUGACUGAAUGAAGGAGAAGAGCUUUUUUUAGAGGAGUAAUGUUAAUGGCAAGAUAGAACAUGAGUUUUGAAUCUUGGGGGUAAAUCAAGCAUAGUACUUAAGAGUAGGAUAGGGGUUAACCUAUUAUUUCCUGAGGUUUACAAGUUGGAAAAUAGUGAACUUCUACAACAACAAACAACUAAACCUCAGUCACAAACAGUUGGGAUCCUCUAUAGGAAUCCUUAGUGACCACGUUAGUCCAUUUAAACUCAUCUCAUGCUGAGUAUGUCCUAACGAUGUCUGUAUUGUGAGGAUUCAUCAUGAAACUGGAUUGUUUUAUGCUGGCUCCUCUUUUUAUCUGGGAUUAGGACCGGCAACGUGAGUAAGCUCACAUAGACGGAGUUAAAUAGUGAAUUUCUGAAGUUCUUUUCUUUUAAAAAAAUUCUAAGUAGCAAAACUAACAUCUCUAAAACACAAUUGUUAAUAAUUUUUCAAGAUCUUUCUUGUAGUGAAUCAUUUAUUGUUAAUGAAAGUUUCUAAAGUUAUUAUGUUCAAAAGUAUUGUCAAAUUAGCAUUGAAAAAGAUUAUUCCGAACUUCUAAUAUUUAAAUUUAACAUUGUAAAACUAAACAUAAAACCAGUGUGUGCUAUCAAGAGAUAUUAUUGCCCUUGAAGCCUUGUAAUUGGUUAAAUAUAUUGGCAUCUAUCAUGGGAUUAAUCUCUCUGAUUGUUAGUGGUUUCCUCUCUUAACCUGUUGGCAGAUCAAAAGCUUACGUGCCAAGUACAUGAAAUUGUGGGGCGCAUCAAUGGAAGAUUUGGAACUCUAACAGCUGUCCCAAUCCAUCAUUUGGUCUGUCUCUUGUUACUUAAUAAUAUGAAUAUAGUUGUUGAUAUUAAUGGAUGUGUAUAGUUAUAAAUAUUUUCUUCAUGCUAGACAUAAGUUGGUGCAGCCUGUUUUAGUUUGUUAUUUUCAUGUGAUUCUUGGGAAUAUACUGGGUAUGUUGUUGUUGUUUUUGUAUCUUCAUAUGAUUCUUCUGCAUUUUGAGAAUUGCUCUUUUUCAUAAAUUUAAAUUUUUGGGCAUGUAAUUUCUGGAAGUUACAGUUUCUCAAAAUGUUUAAUGGGUCUAAUUUAGUUCAUUCUAUGUCAAGUAAAUCAUAGUUACUUGAGUGUUAAAGUAGCUUGACAGGUUAUUAGUUAUUCCUGUUGUUUAUCGUUUAUCUUUACAAGUUCCCGUUUUAACACUAAAUCAUAAUGAUCAAAUGAUAAAGGCUCAAAGGAAAAAAAAAGAGAUUAAAAAAUCUUAUAAUAAAGUCUUCGGAGAAACCAUUUUGAAUCCUCUGAUGCAAUGCUGACAUUAAUACCUAUCUCUUUCAAGGAGUAUUGUAAAGUCAGAAGAAUUUUAUCAGGCGAAGUAUUCAACAUUUGGCACUUUCCAGCAAAUCUCAAAAAUUUUUCAAUGUAAUCCUGAAACAAUACGAUUGAGAAACUAAUCACUUGCCAAAUGUCGAGUAUUUACUUAAUAAAGGUAAAGUGGGAGAUUGGUUUCCUUUGAAGAAAAUCUCUUUUCCUUCAUCCCUUGCCACUUCCUCUCAGCACCAGGUUACUUACUGGACCGCCAUACCCCUAAUUCAGUGAUUGUCCCUUCAUUCCUUUUCGUCAAUCCAGCCCACCUACCCCUUUCCUUUACCCAUGCUCAAAUAAGGUAAUUAUUUCCUCUUCCCCUUCGGGAUUCACAUACCUCAAUUUAAUUUUGUGCCAAAACUUGCAUUUUUUACCUUAAAUAGUCGGAAGUUAGGGAUCAAAUCAUAAAAAAGACAAGAACAAGGUGUGAAGUGCAAACGUGCGCACUAGGAGCAAAUUAAACUCAACAUCUAGUGACCAUCAUUUUUACUGUACUCUUAUUUUCCAUAGUCUCUAAUUCACAUUUUCAACUUAUUUUCUUUAUUUCGGCCAAUAAAUUCUGCUCCAUAACCUUACGAUUUCGGAACUUAUAAGAAUUUUCGAGAUAUUAUUGGCAUCAAUACUCACCUAGUUAGCAUAAAUAUUUACGAUGGUCCAGGGUAAAUGUACAUUUGUGAAGUACCCAAAGAUGCUAAUGAAGUGGGUGAAAACCAUGGGAGACCAAACAAAAGACUCUAGAUGAUUUCUUCGCAUCUAUUUAAGCCUCGGUACGUAGAGUUAACUGGUGCUUGUGCUAGUGGAAGUAGCUGAUAGCCAGUGGUAUGGUUGAGGUGUGCACAAACUGGCAUUGAUACCACUAUUAUGAUAAAUGUCGAGUUGUACAUGAGAGAUGAGACUUUUGAAUAUUAAGGCGGAAAACACCAUGACAAUUUUACUUCUAUGGAAACUAUAAUAAUUGAAAUAUAAAAGACAUAAUGAAGAUCUUUGUCGCUUAUAACUCAUAACCCACAUAAUUAAAAAGAAAUGAGCUAGUGGAAAUAUUGCUGGUUAGUGUAAUGAUAUGGCGUCUGGGUCUAAUUUAACCCCAAAAGCUAGUUUAUGAUGAGAGGAUUGUCCAAGUUUAUGUAAGCAGAGCCCAAAUAGGGAUGAUCUAGCUUUGAUACCAUGUAAGGAUAGGUCAUCUGGGCACAACUCAACCCCAAAAUCUGGCUCAUGAUGGGAGGAUUGCAUAAGUCUAUAUAAGUAGACCACUGGUCUAUUUCCAACCAAUGUAGGACUCUAAUAAUUAGAAAGUCCCUACUCCCUACCAAAGGUAAGUACUCUUUCAUGCUUCAUGAAAUCAGAGGUCUCAGGUCGAGCAAUGAGAGUGGAGUGCUUUACUUAACACUAGCCCGCCCUCGGGUACGUAAACCAGAUUAGUCGGAUCACAAAAAGGAUACCUGAAAAAGCAAAAAAAAAAAAAAAAGUUCUUGCAAUCAUUACCUUAACAUAGAAACUCAAUUGUACUUUGAGCAUGAGGACCGAUGGACAUGCACUAGGAAAAUUUGGAAAUUUAUUAUACUAAAGAUGAAAUAUAGCGGCAGAUGCAAAAAAGAGAUGCAAGUGGAUACUGUUUAACUCUAGAGAAGUCAUUCAAGUAAUUUAGGAUAAAACUUGUAUAAAGCAAUUUUUAGGGAAGUGUGAUGCAGAAAAAAGUGACAAGGUUCCACAUUACGCAUUAAGCGAAACAUGAAGGGAUGCGAGCACAUCAUUGAAGAAAAACGCAGUUUAAAAGGAAAAAGACUAAGUAGAGCAUCUAAGCAAUAAGACAAAACUGAAAAGACCACAACAACUAUGAGCAACAAUAUAAACAAUAUAUAUAAGUAGAAGUUUAAAUUAAACACUAAAAUCACAUGUUUGAUCACCAAAACACCUGUUGCGGAACAAACCAGUAAAACAGCACACGCCACAAUAGCAAAACAGUUCAACAAAAUAGCAAAACAAACAAGAAAAAAGGGGAAAAACCAAGUCUAAACUGAUAAUGUUUCAACAUCUAAUUCUUGUUCUUCUAAAGCUCAUCUACUUGAUCAAGAUUGUCCAAAUCUUUGUAUUCCUUCAUUAUCAUCGUAUUGCUCAUCAUAUUCAACUCCUCAUCUUCCGCAACUCGGCUUGAAGUAGCAACUUCUUUUCCCUUGUCAUGUAAGCUUGAAUUAUUCCUCCUCAAACCAUAAAAUCAGCAUUAAGCGACUCUUUCUUUUUAAUUAAAAAUUGACUCUAAAAAUUAAAUCAACAUGAAGCGCUCGCAUCGGUUCGCUUUUCACAUCGACUCGCCUUCCGCAUCGGCUGACAUCUCGCAUAACCCUGUGAUGCACCUGCUUAUGUAAGGUUGGCUCGCAUCAACCACACACAACAAGAGGGGCUCGCAUCGCUUUGCAUUAUGUGACGAUGCAAGCAAAUUCACUGGUAUAAAGAUUUAUUGACAUGUAGGAGUAGCUACGGGUACACCCUUUUGUCUUCUUCUGAAUUGUAGUUAAUGUGCCUAUUUAAAGGACGAAACAAAGAAUUUUCUUACCUUUAACACUGAGCUCUUAGUGAACUCUUUUGUGUGCAAUCAAAUUUUUGCUAGAUAUAUACACUCGCAAACUCUAUCAGGUAAUGCUACAUAUUCAAAUUCUCAAAGUAUAGUUUCCGUGCUUCAAAAGCUAUAUUGAGGCAGUGGCGGAGACAAGACUUUUAUCAAGGGGUUCAAAAUAUAAAAUAAGUACGAAAAUAUUGCAUGAUGAUAAACGGGGCGGGGCAGCGAAAGGAAAAACUAAUCUCAACUCGCCAAAUGUUAGCUCGCCUUGUCAUGUCCCCUUAACAUUUCUUCCUAUUUUUCCCUGCUCCAUAGACCUCAUUUAAAAACAUUUUUUUUGUGUUUUUAAACAAGGUAAUUUUGGAAAAAAUUAAUAUCUUGAUUCCAUCAACAUUACUUAUUUUGAAACACAUUCGGAAGGCUAGAAGGGAUUAUAAGAUUGCAUCUUCAGAAAAUGAAAUUUUCAUAUCAUAGGCAGCAUUAAAGCACAAAAAUGUUCAAUAGAAAUCUUAAAUCUUUCCGUAAAUAUCUAUAGCAUUAUCUAUAGCCUUCACAUGAAGUUCGUUAAACUUGUGGAAGCACCCAAAAAGAAAUAAAUUCGUUAAAUUUGUGGGAAACACCCAAAAAGAAAAAGGAAGAAAAAGUUCACAACUUUGUCCUGUCUUUCGAAACCGAGUCUAGAGCUAACUAUAGGAUACAGAGUGAGAUAAAUGGAAUUCAUAUCUACGUUUGGGUUGUCCAAAAUAUUUGUUGAAUCGAAAGGUGUGUGUCUAUUUAAAGUUAAGUACGUGAGAGGCUAAUGAAAAGACACAUUACGAUUUUAGGAUAAUAUUAGUAGGCUAUACAAUAACAACAAAUAUGAAUUGAUAGAUAAUUUUUUUUGGAUUACAUGUUCCUUGUCAAAAGUGAAAUGUGAAAGAGAGAUUCAAAUAUAAAACAAUUUCCCUUUCGUGAUGAGGAGGUGCACAGAUGCCCCAGUUUGGAGGUUUGAGAGGUUGACUAUGGAUGAGUUCAGGCAAGGUAGAGGUAGACUGAAGAAAUAUUGGAGGGAGGUGAUUAAACAUGACUUGGAGAAACUAGAGCUUACCGAGGACAUAACCCUAGAUAGGAAGGUAUGGAGGAUGCAAAUUAGGGUAGAAGGUUGGUAGAAAGGAGUGCGUCCUUGCUCUAGUAGGUAGGAGUGCGUUGUUUUGGUAUCUGUGCAAGUUGUCAUAGUGCUAUGUUGGUAUCUUGUUUGUGGAGUUUUAGUAUUAUUUGUUGUUUUGGAUAGAUCGACUUUGUGGUAGUCUUUUUCUGUUAUUAUUUGUUGUGCUAAUACCUUUGUUUCUAUACUGUCUUUUUCUAGACUGUUUUUUGUCUUGAGUCAGAGGUCUAUUGGAAACAACCUCUGCACCUCACCUCUGAGGUAGUUGUACGGACUGCGUACACUUACCCUCCCCAAACCCCACUUUGUGGGAAUAUAUUGGGUAUGUUGUUGAUGCUGUUCCCUUUUGUAACAAAUGUCAUCUAACUUGUGUAACAUAUUGACAUUGUUAGGACACCUGAUUGGUAAAGGAAUUUAGGUCAAGAUAGGUAGGAAAAUUUAAAACUUUGAUUCUGAUUUGAAUUAUAAUUUAUAGAGUAGAUAAAAAGAAAAAGUAAAAAUUAUAAUUUAUAGAGUAAAUAAAAAGAAAAAGUAAAUAAUUGGCGAGCAAUCAAUUUAUACUACAGUGACCGAGAAAAUCGGAAAUAUCGGAAAUAUAGUGCAGCGACGGAGAAUUGAUCCUGCGGCCUUGGGAGAAUUUUGAACUCCUUGAUCACUGAGCCAAGCUUUUGAGUUGUGUCAAGGGGGUUCAUUUUGGAUAUAUACUCAAAAAAAGAAAAUAAUCAAACUUGACUUUAUAUCAGUUAAUAUGUCAGGUUGAUUACUGCCUACUUGGUUUCUGAAAUGGAUGCCAAAAACAAGAAAUUAUUAUUCCUAAUUUAACUACUUCAUGGCAAAGAAAAGCCCCAUAGUUUGACAUCAUUUUACUAAUCAAAAAGAUUUAAAAAGCCCAAUACUUUGACAAAGUCUACAACACUAAUCAGUAACAUAAAGUAGGGUGAAUUAUUUUGUUGAUGCAGCAUUUUUGCGUGAAGGGUUCCAUCACUCGUAUCUUCUCUGGAUGACAUUCUCGUUUGGUUGCUUUCUGUACUUACUUACAUCUUAAUAAAUGGUUGCAUCAUUCUGAAGGUUUGGUUCUUCUGUGUUUUCUUUGGUUUCAAUAGUACAAUAAUUAGAAAAUAUAUUUCUCUUGAACUGUGAAAAUAUUUGUCUUCCUUCAUCUAUUCUGCUAAUAUUGCAAAUCUUCUGAAUAGAUUUCCUAUGUGUCAUUUUCCUAAGAAAGCUUUUUUGUGUUGAUGGUAUCUGUCAAUUACUUUUUCGCCAAGAGUAUAAAACUUUAAUUAAUAGGCCUAAUGCCUGAGACUGGUGGUCAGGGAGUUGAGCCAAUUGACAAUAUCAACAUUAAGUUUUCAAUUUCACUGUUGUUGCUUGAAUACUUUGAGAGAUGGAUCUUGGGCCUAACUCUACUCCAAAAGCUUGCUUGUGAGGUGUUUAGACAAAGUGGUGGAUAACAAGAGAAGCGAUUUUGAAACUGAAAGGGUGAUUUUAUUUAUUUUAAAAAUAUUUUUUGGGGUUAGGUUAACUGAAGUUUAUUGAUAUAAGACCAAGAUGGUGUUAGGUUAUAGAAGCAUUGACUACAUGUGAUGUAAUGGCCUCAAGAAUCAAGCCAACUAUCUAUGAAACAAGGUUUUCCUCUUUACACUAAAAUAGACUGAAUGGUGAAUUUUGAGUUUAAGGAGUUCGUGAAUCCUUCAACGGUUCUCCUAUCCCUUUAUCUUCAUCCCAGCUAAUGGUGUUUGAUGUUUCUUAUUCUAAUUUCAGCCUAUUCCGCUACUCAUUCUCAUCAUUCCCAUUGUGAUUUAUGAG